GUGCUCACUUGGGCAGCACAUAUACUAAAAUCAGAAUGAUACAGAGAAGAUUAGUAUGGCCCUGUACAAGGAUGACACACAAAUUCUUGAAGUGUUCCAUAUUUUU
rnacentral:snRNA from 2 species